rnacentral:rRNA from 1 species
AGUGAACGCUGGCGGUAGGCCUAACACAUGCAAGUCGAACGGCAGCACAGUAAGAGCUUGCUCUUACGGGUGGCGAGUGGCGGACGAGUGAGGAAUACAUCGGAAUCUACUUUUUCGUGGGGGAUAACGUUGGGAAACUUACGCUAAUACCGCAUACGACCUACGGGUGAAAGCAGGGGAUCUUCGGACCUUGCGCGAUUGAAUGAGCCGAUGUCGGAUUAGCUAGUUGGCGGGGUAAAGGCCCACCAAGGCGACGAUCCGUAGCUGGUCUGAGAGGAUGACCAGCCACACUGGAACUGAGACACGGUCCAGACUCCUACGGGAGGCAGCAGUGGGGAAUAUUGGACAAUGGGCGCAAGCCUGAUCCAGCCAUACCGCGUGGGUGAAGAAGGCCUUCGGGUUGUAAAGCCCUUUUGUUGGGAAAGAAAAGCAGCAGGUUAAUACCCCGCUGUUCUGACGGUACCCAAAGAAUAAGCACCGGCUAACUUCGUG